AAAAGCGGUGUUCCCUGUUUUUCGUUUAUUUUUGCAGUUUUAAAAAAUAAAAAAAUGGCAAUGUUUAUUUUCAUUUUUCUUUCUUUUGAUCUGUCUCGUUCCAGCUCUAAAGCCCUUAUUCUCCGGAUCUCAUUGAUAACGAUUUGGUUACACCUCGUAUGACUUCGACAAUCCGAUCUAUCAUGCCGAAGAAGAAGGCGAAGAAGAUUGUGAUCUGCUGGAAGAUUAGCCAGAUUGUUGAAACAAGAGGAGAAGGUGAUUCAAC
rnacentral:lncRNA from 1 species